rnacentral:rRNA from 1 species
GAUGAACGCUGGCGGCGUGCCUAAUACAUGCAAGUCGAGCGAACAGACGAGGAGCUUGCUCCUCUGACGUUAGCGGCGGACGGGUGAGUAACACGUGGAUAACCUACCUAUAAGACUGGGAUAACUUCGGGAAACCGGAGCUAAUACCGGAUAAUAUAUUGAACCGCAUGGUUCAAUAGUGAAAGACGGUUUUGCUGUCACUUAUAGAUGGAUCCGCGCCGCAUUAGCUAGUUGGUAAGGUAACGGCUUACCAAGGCAACGAUGCGUAGCCGACCUGAGAGGGUGAUCGGCCACACUGGAACUGAGACACGGUCCAGACUCCUACGGGAGGCAGCAGUAGGGAAUCUUCCGAAAUGGGCGAAAGCCUGACGGAGCAACGCCGCGUGAGCGAUGAAGGUCUUCGGAUCGUAAAACUCUGUUAUUAGGGAAGAACAAAUGUGUAAGUAACUAUGCACGUCUUGACGGUACCUAAUCAGAAAGCCACGGCUAACUACGUG